CAGCUUAGCAAAGACAAUCUAGUCAGAAACAUUUUAGUGACUGCCAGCUAAUGGUGGAGCUGAAGUUCUGGGAGCAUGACAUGCUACAGGGUCACAGGAAUGAG